rnacentral:rRNA from 1 species
UAACGAAUAUUCCACAAUGCGCGAAAGCGUGAUGGAGCAAUGCCGCGUGCAGGAUGAAGCCCUUCGGGGUGUAAACUGCUGUCAGGGUUCACUAAGUUCUGAAGAAACCCAAAGGAAGGGCCGGCUAACUUCGUGCCAGCAGCCGCGGUAAUACGAAGGGCCCGAGCGUUGCGCGGAAUCAUUGGGCUUAAAGCGUACGUAGGCGGACAUUCAAGCGUCUUGUGAAAUCCCUCGGCUCAACCGAGGAAUUGCAGGGCGAACUGUUUGUCUCGAGCAUGGUAGGGGCCGUCGGAACGAUAGGUGGAGCGGUGAAAUGCGUAGAUAUCUAUCGGAACGCCAAAGGUGAAGACAGGCGGCUGGGCCAUUGCUGACGCUGAGGUACGAAAGCGUGGGUAGCGAACGGGAUUAGAUACCCCCGUAGUCC